rnacentral:rRNA from 1 species
GGCUCAGAACGAACGCUGGCGGCGUGCUUAACACAUGCAAGUCGAGCGCGAAAGGGUCCUUCGGGGCUCGAGUAGAGCGGCAGACGGGUGAGUAACACGUGGGUAACCUGCCUCUAGGUGGGGGAUAACCACCUGAAAAGGUGGCUAAUACCGCAUAAGACCACGUUCUCGCGGGGAUGGGGUCAAAGGCCCUUCGGGGUCGCCAAGAGAGGGGCCCGCGUCCGAUUAGCUCGUUGGCGGGGUAACGGCCCACCAAGGCGACGAUCGGUAGCUGGUCUGAGAGGAUGAUCAGCCACACUGGUACUGAGACACGGACCAGACUCCUACGGGAGGCAGCAGUGGGGAAUAUUGCGCAAUGGGCGAAAGCCUGACGCAGCAACGCCGCGUGGGUGAUGAAGGCCUUCGGGUCGUAAAGCCCUGUCAGGUGGGAAGAAACCUCCUCGUGAGGGGAGCUGACGGUACCACCGAAGGAAGCACCGGCUAACUCCGUGCCAGCAGCCGCGGUAAUACGGAGGGUGCAAGCGUUGUUCGGAAUUACUGGGCGUAAAGGGCGCGUAGGCGGCUAGGGAAGUCCGGUGUGAAAGCCCGGGGCUUAACCCCGGAAGUGCAUUGGAAACUCCCUGGCUUGAGUUCGGAAGAGGAGGGCAGAAUUCCCGGUGUAGGGGUGAAAUCCGUAGAUAUCGGGAGGAAAACCAGUGGCGAAGGCGGCCCUCUGGGACAGAACUGACGCUAAGGCACGAAAGCGUGGGGAGCAAACAGGAUUAGAGACCCUGGUAGUCCACGCCGUAAACGAUGGAUGCUUGGUGUGGGGAUCAAUAAGGAUCUCCGUGCCGCAGCUAACGCAGUAAGCAUCCCGCCUGGGGAGUACGGUCGCAAGACUAAAACUC